GGAUGAGCUUGUCAGUGGCGGA
rnacentral:miRNA from 1 species